GCUCAGGAUGAACGCUGGCGGCGUGCCUAAUACAUGCAAGUCGAGCGGACCUCUUCGGAGGUCAGCGGCGGACGGGUGAGUAACACGUGGGUAACCUGCCUGUAAGGCUGGGAUAACUUCGGGAAACCGAAGCUAAUACCGGAUAAUUUUUCGAGUCGCAUGACUCGAAAUGGAAAGGCGGCUUCGGCUGCCGCUUACAGAUGGACCCGCGUCGCAUUAGCUAGUUGGUGAGGUAACGGCUCACCAAGGCGACGAUGCGUAGCCGACCUGAGAGGGUGAUCGGCCACACUGGGACUGAGACACGGCCCAGACUCCUACGGGAGGCAGCAGUAGGGAAUCUUCGGCAAUGGGCGAAAGCCUGACCGAGCAACGCCGCGUGAGUGAUGAAGGCUUUCGGGUC
rnacentral:rRNA from 1 species